rnacentral:lncRNA from 1 species
CUCGUGACAGGAUUUCCAUCUCAUUAUAUUGCAAUUUUAAAAUAUUUUUGAAUAACCAGUUUAUUAGUUUCGUUUGAACAUUCUGCAUAUCCAUUUUAGGUUAGUUUGGUUAUUUGGUCAACUUUUAUACUAUUAAGGGAUGGGAAUUUCAGAUUAACUUUAAGUUUAUUUUGUGUUCGGUUUAGCUUGUUUAUUCUGGAUUUGAGAAAAACUCCAACCAAACGCACCCAAACUAACUUUAGUUUUUGUUAGUUGAGGUUAGGGAUAUCAAAAUGGGUUCAAAUUAAUGGAUCAAUCCAAUCCAAUUCAAUCCAUGGACGUUAAUGAGUCAGAAAUUUGGAUGUUAAUGGAUAAAUUGGUUUAAUGGAUUGGUGGGUUUAAUGG